AGGCAUGUCCCAGUCUGCUGGUGCGUCGUGUGCGCUUUUCGCUGUUUAGAUGUUAUAAUGUAGCAAACUUUACUUUGGCUGAUAUUCUUUUUACUAGAUUUACUCUUCAAAGCAUCAAAAGUGGUGUAAUUCUUAUCGACCCUGCGAGAAUUGUGAAGAUGGAGGCGCACGAAUUGGUUUCUGCUGAACGACCCAAAAAGGGCAUCUGGUACGUGGUGGGCAGCGUGCCGCUGCUGACGGAGGUGCUGAUGCCCGUGCUGGAGCGGCUGCAGCGCGGCGCGCUGGCGCUGCUGCUGCUGCUCAGCGUGCUGCUGGUGGCGGCCGCGUUCGUCUGCGCCUGCCUGCUCGUUCCCCGCCAGCAGGCGAUGAUGAUCGGCACCCGUCACUGCAUCGAGUACAACUACGGCGACCUGCCGGGCCUGGACCUGCCGGAGCGCGGCGACAACUCGUGGUUCCAGUCCUGGAGGAUCGACGAGGACGACUUUGUGUGCACGCGCGUCGAGCCGCACGCCGAGGAGGAGCACAACCGGGAGCUGUUCCGGCGCUUCUUCAUCGACGGGAAGCUGCACACCUCCUUCCAGAUGCCGCUGAGGAAAGAGCGGGUCCUGAACCCGUUCAAGCGAUACAACCGCUUCCUGAAGGGCUAUAUCAGCAUUGACCUGGACAUAUCCAGUAACGGCACUGAGACGGCGCGGGACGCCUCGGUGCGUCUGCGGCUGGGCGGCAGGGACGGCGGCGGCCGGCAGCGCGACUGGCAGCAGCUGGGCCGCGCUCAGGUGCCGCUCGAACUGGACAGCUGCCAGCGCAGGACCGAACAGGCGGCUGACGGCACGGAGACGGAGCGGUGUGUGGUGAAUCAGCAGCUGUUCGAGGUGGCCUCGCUGGAUCGCGAGUACUACCUGCUGAACGCGGGCGUGCAGAACAUGACGCAGCCGCCGCUCUCCAUGAAUCUCCUGGUGGUGUUCCAGACGCGGGUGUACACGCUGGUGUGCCUGCACCUGGGCGCCUGCUUCACGGCCGCGCUGGCGCUCCUGCUGGUCCUGUUCGUGCUGCGCGUGCGGCGGCUGUACCCGGUCGUGCCGACCGGUCACACGCUGCUGGUCCUGCUGGCCGCCGCCCUGAUCGUCUGGGACGUCCCUCUGGGGUACAUCGCGCUGGACUACGACGCGCCGUGGCUGGGGAUCGUGGACGCCGUCCGGCAGGACCUCUUCUACCUGGUCUUCCUCUGCUUCUGCCUCGUCUUCGUCCGGGAGCAGGCCUUCGUCAAGGGUGUGCAGCGCGCGCCGCGCCGGCUGCUGCCGCCGCUGGCGCCCGUGGCGGCCGGCGCGCUGCUGCUGCUGGCGCUGGACGUGACGCAGCAGGCGCUGCUGGCGGCCGACCCGUUCGCCGGCCGGCCGCACUGGCUGUGUCUCUGCCUGGCCGUGCUGCUCGUGCUGAAUGCGCUCUACGUGCUGGCCGUGUGCGCGCUGGCGGCCGGCGGUUGGCGGCGCGGCUGGGACCGCAAACCGGUGCCCGGCCGCUACCGGGCCCUCAUGGCCAUCACCUGCCUGACAGUGGCGGCCGCCUGCGUGGAGCACGCCGAGCGCAGGGAGUCUGAUAACUGGUGGUUCUGGAGCUGGACGGACGAGCGGCCCACCGACGGCCACCUGCUCUACAUCGGCAUGCUGGUGUGGUACAACGUGCUGGUGGCCGGCCUGCUGGUGCUCUACCUGCCCACCCGGCCGCUGGUCGAGCUCACCGGGCCCGUCUACGACGACGAGCAGAAGGUGCCGCUGAACGGUGGUGACGAGCCGGAGCCCAUCAGGCGGGAGGCGGCGCCGGCCGAGCCGUGAGCCGAGGCCGAGCCUGGCUACCAGACGCCGCCUCUGCGAGCUUCCCGGCGCGCGCACGAUCUGAUCUCCCUUCGGUAAAUCGGUGGCCGGUCCAAGACAGGCAGAGCCGGCGGCCUUUAUGAACAAACGCGCAACGAAAGCGUCAGAUCUGGUGGAGUUCUUUUACAGAUCUGACGAAGAAAUCUCAGAUUUAUAUUGUGAACGAAUCGAAGUACGUUUUCUGGGAGGGAUUUCUCAUAUAUGAGAUCUUCGGGAGAUUAAAGAGGCCUUUCUAUAUGUUGAUCGAUUCCUAUGGCCAAAGUCGAUCUCGGAAAGUGAGUUUUCGAAGGUAACUGGUGUGAUUUAAAAAGACUGGGAUUGACCGGCGUCGGGAACUCAACAAAACGCCUGUUAUUCGCCAUGUCACUGCCGUACGUAAAUCCGUCGAGCCAGCGUUGGCUGCGUUUCGCGCGCGUUUGGUUUUAACCAGUCUGAGGCGGCCGCGCCCGGUGCCGGUCCGAGCGCUGUCGGAGGUCCAGCCUCUGUGUGUGUCUGUGUGUGUGUGCGGGUCCGGUGUGAGAGCGUGUGACGUGAGUCCACCAGAGUGGUGACGCUGGAGCGACAGAGCCACCUAGUGGCUGACGAGACGCGGUGGGCCAGUCCCUCUGCUCGAGCUGACGACGUGUGACGGUAGCCGUCCCCGGACCGAUGGCUUGUCGUACUGUGCCUGGUCCGCGCAUGAGAGCUUCUUUUCGUGACGUGCGUUCAUAUGAGUGUGGGCCGGGCUGCGGCCCAGUAUAAUACUCCCCCUCCCUGGAACCUGUGCCGCGGGGCGACCCUCUGUCCUUGGUUCGUCUAUCUCCCCGCCGGCCACAUUUCUGCGCUGUGCGCUCCCACUGAUCCACUAUCGGCUGCUCCUGGACAGGCUGCUACGGACCUCCAGCCCUGUGUACUCUGUACCCACCCUCAGUGGUUUCCUCGCCACCGGCACCCCCUAUCUGUAUCUGUUCGUCCAGCGGUGACUAGUACCGUGAUGCCUUCGACUAACUAGUCCCUUGACUAGUUUCUUUUUGCACGGUUUUUAUGAUAUGGUGUGAAGUGUCGCACGGCACCGAUGGAGUGUUGAUCUCCCGCGGGAGUAUACAUACUCCGACCCCGUGGAGACCGAGUCUCCGACCCCCCUGGAGUGCCCCCCCCCCCCCACACACACACACACUGGGAGUAUACUCCCACCCCGCGGAGACGAGUUUCCGACUCCCUUUGAGUGCCCUCUCCCUCCCCCUCCCCGGGAGUAUACUCUUACCCCACGGAGAGACGAGUCUCUGACCCCCCUGGAGUGUCCCCCCCCCCCACUGGGAGUAUACUCCUACCCCGCGGAGAGACGAGUCUCUGACCCCCUGGAGUCCCCCCACACUGUGAGUUUACUCCUACCCUGCGGAGACGAGUCUCUGACCCCCUGGAGUGCCUCCCCCCACUCGGAGUAUACUCCCACCCCACGGAGAGACGAGUCUCCGACCCCCUUUGAGUGCCCCCCCCCCCCCCCACACACACACACUGGGAGUAUACUCCCACCCCGCGGAGAGACGAGUCUCCGAACCCACGUUAGAGCUUCUCAAGUCGCCGUCGACUGCCUUUGGGCUUUUGUUUGUAACGCAUGUGCUUUCACCCACGGGCUAGAGUUGUGUAGUGGACCGGGCGUAGCGGGCUGUAGGCUGGUGCUGGCGGGCGGGCGGGAGUGCUUCAACCUAGUACCUGGAUGUACCUGCUUCACCAAAUCACCGGCGGUGGUGGCUCACCGCUUUGCUAAUGUUUUUUUUUUUUUACGCAAUGUGCCGGCAGACUAUGCGCGCCUUGAGUCGCUUUUGUUGCCAUGCCGUGUGUGUAUUAAUGAGCCAUUGUAACCACUUUUUGCCCAGGUCGGCAAUCGUGGAGGGAGUGUUUUCCUGCAUUAACAGAGACAAUAUUACGAGGAGACCGUUUUC
rnacentral:misc_RNA from 1 species